GAGUGCAAGGUGACUGGGGGUGUGGGCCUGCAGGCACCAGGCUGGACCUGCCUUGGGGGCUCGCUGGUCAUGGGGCGCUGGCCUCUCAGCCCUGGGCAAAGAGAAGGUGUGGCUGGGACACAGGCAGCUGGGUGGGCACCGCCCCAGCCCCAUCCCCAUGCCUAGAGCCUGGUGCCAGUGCCCACACAAGGAACAUGCUGUCCUGGGAGGUGCCCCUGUGGGCUGAGGAGAGCCACACAGCCAUGUUGUAUCCAGCCGGGUCGCCUCCCCUGACCUUGGGAGUCACAGCAGAGUAGGCAGGGCAGUGAGGGUGGCGAGGUGCGGUGGGGCCCACCCUGGUGGCACCAUGCCCACCACAGCCCCGCUGACCUGCAGAGCUGGAUGGCCUUGCUGCGCAGGGAGAUUGGCCACUUCCACGAAAAGAAAGACCUGCCCUUGGACACCAGCGACUCCAGCUCGGACACAGACAGCUUCUACGGCGCAGUCGAGCGGCCUGUGGAUAUCAGCCUCUCCCCGUACCCCACGGACAAUGAAGACUAUGAGCACGACGACGAGGAUGACUCCUACAUGGAGCCCGACUCCCCGGAGCCCGGAAGGCUUGAGGAUGCCCUGAUGCACCCACCGGCUUACCCACCACCCCCAGUGCCCACGCCCAGGAAGCCAGCCUUCUCCGACAUGCCCCGGGCCCACUCCUUUACCUCCAAGGGCCCCGGUCCCCUGCUGCCACCCCCGCCCCCUAAGCACGGCCUCCCAGAUGUUGGCCUGGCUGCCGAGGACUCCAAGAGGGACCCCCUGUGCCCGAGGCGGGCUGAGCCUUGCCCCAGGGUACCUGCUACCCCCCGAAGGAUGAGUGAUCCCCCUCUGAGCACCAUGCCCACCGCACCCGGCCUACGGAAACCCCCUUGCUUCCGGGAGAG
rnacentral:sRNA from 1 species